rnacentral:rRNA from 1 species
UAAGACAGAGGUGCCAAGCGUUAGGCGGAAUCACUGGGCUUAAAGCGUGUGUAGGCGGAUCGUUAAGUACCUUGUGAAAUCCCACGGCUCAACCGUGGAACUGCUCGGUAUACUGGCGAUCUUGAGCCACCUAGGGGCAACUGGAACAAGCGGUGGAGCGGUGAAAUGCGUAGAUAUCGC